rnacentral:rRNA from 1 species
GACGAACGCUGGCGGCGUGCCUAAUACAUGCAAGUUGAGCGAUGAAGAUUGGUGCUUGCACCAAUUUGAAGAGCAGCGCACGGGUGAGUAACGCGUGGGGAAUCUGCCUUUGAGCGGGGGACAACAUUUGGAAACGAAUGCUAAUACCGCAUAACAACUUUAAACAUAAGUUUUAAGUUUGAAAGAUGCAAUUGCAUCACUCAAAGAUGAUCCCGCGUUGUAUUAGCUAGUUGGUGAGGUAAAGGCUCACCAAGGCGAGGAUACAUAGCCGACCUGAGAGGGAGGUUGGCAACCAUGGGCACGAGACACCGCCCAAAUUAGCUCGGGAGGCAGCAGUAGGGAAGCGUCGGCGAUGGGGCACAGUCUGACCAAGCACCGCCGCCUGAGUGCAGAAGGGUUUUGGAUCGUAAAGCGCUGUUGGUAGAGAAGAGCGUUGGUUAGAGUGGAAAGCUCAUCAAGUGACGGUGACUACCCAGAAAGGGACGGCUAACUACGUG